UACGGAGGGUGCGAGCGUUGUCCGGAAUCACUGGGCGUAAAGGGCGCGUAGGUGGCGGAGCAAGUCAAUGGUGAAAGCUCGACGCUCAACGUCGAGUCGGCCGUCGAGACUGCUUCGCUCGAGCACUGUAGAGGCAGAUGGAAUUCCGGGUGUAGCGGUGGAAUGCGUAGAGAUCCGGAAGAACACCGGUGGCGAAGGCGGUCUGCUGGGCAGUUGCUGACACUGAGGCGCGACAGCGUGGGGAGCAAACAGG
rnacentral:rRNA from 1 species